rnacentral:rRNA from 1 species
GACGAACGCUGGCGGCGUGCUUAACACAUGCAAGUCGAACGGAAAGGCCCUGCUUGCAGGGUACUCGAGUGGCGAACGGGUGAGUAACACGUGGGUGAUCUGCCCUGCACUUCGGGAUAAGCUUGGGAAACUGGGUCUAAUACCGGAUAGGAGCCAUCUUUAGUGUGGUGGUUGGAAAGUUUUUUCGGUGUAGGAUGAGCUCGCGGCCUAUCAGCUUGUUGGUGGGGUAAUGGCCUACCAAGGCGGCGACGGGUAGCCGGCCUGGGAGGGUGUACGGCCACAUUGGGACUGAGAUACGGCCCAGACUCCUACGGGAGGCAGCAGUGGGGAAUAUUGCACAAUGGGCGCAAGCCUGAUGCAGCGACGCCGCGUGGGGGAUGAAGGCCUUCGGGUUGUAAACUCCUUUCGCUAGGGACGAAGCUUUUUUGUGACGGUACCUAGAUAAGAAGCACCGGCUAACUACGUG